AGAGCACUGAAUGGGCUAGGGGCUGACAACAGUUACUGAACCCUAUCAAACUCCGAAUGCCAUAUACUUGUACCCCGGCAGUCAGACUACGAAUGAUAAGAUCCGUGGUCAAAAGGGAAACAGCCCAGACCAUCAGCUAAGGUCCCAAAGUGUAAGUUAAGUGGGAAAGGAUGUGGGAUUUCUAAGACAACUAGGAUGUUGGCUUAGAAGCAGCCACUCAUUUAAAGAGUGCGUAAUAGCUCACUAGUCGAGAGAUCCUGCGCCGAAGAUGUAACGGGGCUCAAACUUACCACCGAAGCUAUGGAUGUGUACUAUGUACACGUGGUAGAGGAGCUUUCUGUACAGGUUGAAGUCAUACCGUAAGGAGUGGUGGACAGUACAGAAGUGAGAAUGCUGGCAUAAGUAGCGAAAAACAAGUGAGAAUCUUGUUGACCGAAUAUCUAAGGUUUCCUGGGGAAGGCUCGUCCUCCCAGGGUUAGUCGGGACCUAAGCCGAGGCCGAAAGGCGUAGGUGAUGGACAACUGGUUGAUAUUCCAGUACCACCAUAAUGCGUUUGACAAAUGGGAUGACGCAGGAGGAUAGGAUGUGCGCACUAUUGGAUGUGCGUCUAAGCACUUAGGGUGUUAAGUAGGCAAAUCC
rnacentral:rRNA from 1 species